AAAGAAAAAGCCUGUAGGAAACCAUCAAGAGAGUGUAUGCCUGAGCACCUGCCGCCAUGCCAGCUGGACCUCGAUAGACCGUGAUGGACUGCAUCCUCAGACUGUGAGCCACAACAAGCCCUUCCUCACUCUGGUUACUUUUGUCAAGGCUUUUGUCACAGAGAAAAUGACUAAUAUUUAAGACAUGGUAUCGGGCUAUUUGUCAAUCAUUUAAUAAACACAGCACAACUGCCUGGCA